AGCAGUGAGAGCAUGCAGAUUCUGGAAAUACUCUGAAGAUAGAAAUUAUUGAAUUUAUUGAAAGAUUGACCACCAGGAGAAAAAGAGGAGCAAGCAGAACUCAAAGGUCUAUGACUUGAAUGAUUGGAAAGAAGGAGCUUCCAUUAGUUGAAAUGGAAAAUGCUAGAAAAGAAACAGGAAACAGUGUCAGGCAUUCUGCUUUGAACAUGUACAGUUAAGAUUACUGGCCUGUCCUGUGAUUAGCUGGAUAUAUCUAUUUUUAUUGUUUUGAACAAUCUCCAUACUGUUUUCCACAGUGGUUGCACCAAUUUACACUCCCAUCAGCAGUGCACAAGGGUUCUCCUUUCUCCAUAUUCUCACUGACACUUGUUAUUUCCAGUGUUUUUGAGAAUAGCCAUUCUAACAGGUGUGAGGUGAUAUCUUCUUGUGGUUUUGAUUUGAAUUUCCCUGAUGGUUAGUGAUGUUGAAAACCUUUUCAUAUACUGUUGGCCAUUUGUAUGUCUUCUUUGGAAAAAUGUCUAUUCAGAUUUCUUGCUCAUUUUUAGUUAUUUGGUUUUUUGCUAUUGAGUUGUAUGAGUUCCUUGUGUAUUUUUUAUAUUAACCCCUAUUGAAUAUGGGCUUUGCAAAUAUUUUCUCCCGUUCCAUAGGUUGCCUUUUUAUUUUGUUGAUGGUUUCUUUCACUGAGCAGAAACCUUUUUAGUUUUAUGUAGUCUCACAAUUUUUGCUUCUGUUACAUUUGCUUUUGGUGGAAAAUCCAAAAGUUAAUUACCAAAGCUAAUGUAAUGGAGCUUACUGCCUAUCUCUUCUUCUGGGAGUUUACAGUUUCAGAUUUUAUAUUCAAGUCUUUAACCCAUUUUAUGUUGAUUUUUGUGUAUGGUGUAAAACAGGAGCCCAGUUUCAUUCUUUUGUAUGUUAGUGUCAAGUUUUCCCGGUACCAUUUAUUGAAGAGACUGUUCUUUCUUCAUUGUAUAUUAUUGGCUCCUAUGUUGUAAAUUAAUUGACUGUCUAUGCAUGAGUAAAUCUAAGUUCUCUUUUCUGUUCCAUUGAUCUAUGUAAUUUCAGUAUUUAUGCCAAUACCAUACUGUUUGAUUACUAUGGCUUUGUAAUAUAGUUUUAAAUCAGAA